rnacentral:rRNA from 1 species
CCCGCACAAGCAGCGGAGCGUGUGGUUUAAUUCGAUGCAACACGAAGAACCUUACCAAGGCUUGACAUGACAGAAGUAGCUGAAGGAAACGGAUGCCAACCGUUAAGUCGGUAGCUGCCACAAGUGCUGCAUGGCUGUCGUCAGCUCGUGCCGUGAGGUGUUGGGUUAAGUCCCGCAACGAGCGCAACCCUUAUUGCCAGUUAAUUUCUCUGGCGAGACUGCCCCGCAAAACGGGGAGGAAGGUGGGGAUGACGUCAAGUCAGCCAUCGCCUUAUGCCUUGGGCUACACACACGCUACAAUGGAUGACACAAUUGGUCGCAAGAGCGCGAGCUGGAGCUAAUCCAAUAAAGUCAUUCUCAGUUCGGAUUGCAGGCUGAAACCCGCCUGCAUGAAGUUGGAGUUGCUAGUAAUCGCAGGUCAGCAUACUGCGGUGAAUACGUUCUCGGGCCUU